AUUGAACGCUGGCGGCAGGCUUAACACAUGCAAGUCGAGCGGAGAUGAGGUGCUUGCACCUUAUCUUAGCGGCGGACGGGUGAGUAAUGCUUAGGAAUCUGCCUAUUAGUGGGGGACAACAUUCCGAAAGGAAUGCUAAUACCGCAUACGUCCUACGGGAGAAAGCAGGGGAUCUUCGGACCUUGCGCUAAUAGAUGAGCCUAAGUCGGAUUAGCUAGUUGGUGGGGUAAAGGCCUACCAAGGCGACGAUCUGUAGCGGGUCUGAGAGGAUGAUCGGCCACACUGGGACUGAGACACGGCCCAGACUCCUACGGGAGGCAGCAAUGGGGAAUAUUGGACAAUGGGGGGAACCCUGAUCCAGCCAUGCCGCGUGUGUGAAGAAGGCCUUAUGGUUGUAAAGCACUUUAAGCGAGGAGGAGGCUACUGAGACUAAUACUCUUGGAUAGUGGACGUUACUCGCAGAAUAAGCGCCGGCUAACUCUGUGCCAGCAGCCGCCGUAA
rnacentral:rRNA from 1 species